GGGCAUCCAAAUCUUGCGGCAACGCCCCCGGGACAUGCAUCGUCCCCUGGACUCUCUCAAACCCCUUAUCCCUCUGGACAGAAUGCAGGUCCAACCACGCUGGUAUACCCUCAAACCCCUCAGACAAUGAAUUCACAACCUCAAACCCGUUCUCCGGUAAGUAAGCAGAAGCUUGAACCAAAUUACAUUCUCUACCUGUGUUUGUGUGUGUAGUGGCUUGGGUUUCUUUGGCAAAUAUUUUUACUGGAUUUUGGAAGUUUGUUCCAAAGAUGAUUUAUUAUUAUGACUCCUACUAUUAUUUGUUAGCUUUGUAUUUUCAGACCUUACCUAUAGCAAUAAUUAAAUUUAUUGAGAAAAAGAAGAGGUGGAGCUUUUAACCCUCCACUCCCUUUUAAUACUUUUCUAUAGCAUGAUUUUUAAGUCUGGUUGCAUUCAAGUUUACUUUAUUUCAGCUUAUAAUUUUUGUUAGUUGUACUGUUCAAAAUUCAGGUAAGAGUAAAAUACAAUGAUUUUAGGAGUAAAUUGAAUUUCACUAAUUAAAUUCUCAAAUUCCAGUGGUUUUGGGAAGCAGGACUUUUGAAUCAGUGUUAUUAGAUCUGUUCUAACCAUUUAACAGUGUGGGUAUAUGCAUGACAUAUACCAGUGAGUGUAUUCAUUUAUUCAAAUGAGAAAUAAAUUGUGAUACAAAUGUAAAUGCUAUCAUCCUCUUUGUUCAUCCUUUACAUGAAUUGCAAUAAGUACUGCCAAGACUGAGAAUUUACACAAGGUUCAUCCUUUGUUUCACAAAAGUAUACAGUGGCUUCAGCUCUCCAUUCCUUAGAACAUCGUUUCCUGCCCUGCAUGAUUAGCUUUGGCUAGAAGGUGCUUCUGUAACAUCUCACAUUGUGUAUCUCAC
rnacentral:lncRNA from 1 species